GAUGAACGCUGGCGGCGUGCUUAACACAUGCAAGUCGAACGGAAAGGCUCCUGCUUGCAGGGGUACUCGAGUGGCGAACGGGUGAGUAACACGUGGGUGAUCUGCCCUGCACUUCGGGAUAAGCCUGGGAAACUGGGUCUAAUACCGGAUAGGACCACAUUUUGGAUGGUGUGGUGGAAAGAUUUUCGGUGUGGGAUGAGCUCGCGGCCUAUCAGCUUGUUGGUGGGGUAAUGGCCUACCAAGGCGUCGACGGGUAGCCGGCCUGAGAGGGUGUACGGCCACAUUGGGACUGAGAUACGGCCCAGACUCCUACGGGAGGCAGCAGUGGGGAAUAUUGCACAAUGGGCGCAAGCCUGAUGCAGCGACGCCGCGUGGGGGAUGACGGCCUUCGGGUUGUAAACUCCUUUCGCUAGGGACGAAGCGCAAGUGACGGUACCUGGAGAAGAAGCACCGGCUAACUACGU
rnacentral:rRNA from 1 species